CGCUUUCCGAAGCUCAAGAUACCGGCGACAUUGAAAAACCGUCCUUCAGUUUGCCCGAGAUAGUAAAAAAGUCUGACCUCACUGAAAAAACCAGAGAAUUCUGCCUCUGCUUCGAUGGCGGAUCAGACGGAAGAUGUUGAUAUUGCCGUGACUUCGCAUGGAGGUCGCACCCUGAUGACGCUGACGCCCGCAUCACAAC